rfam:Ceraceosorus bombacis genome assembly, contig: Scaffold_275
GGGGAAAUGGCUCAGUGGUAGAGUGUCUUGUUCGCACAUUGAGAGCUUUUACAGUGAUCAUAUGUAGACCUCGAGAAGGUCCGGGGUUCAAUCCCCCGUUUCUCCA